rnacentral:rRNA from 1 species
UACGUAGGGGGCUAGCGUUGUCCGGAAUCAUUGGGCGUAAAGAGCGUGUAGGCGGCCCGGUAAGUCCGCUGUAAAAGUCAAAGGCUCAACCUUUGAAUGUCAGUGGAUACUGCCGGGCUAGAGUCCGGAAGAGGCGAGUGGAACUCCUGGUGUAGCGGUGGAAUGCGCAGAUAUCAGGAAGAACACCCGUGGCGAAGGCGGCUCUCUGGGACGGUACUGACGCUGAGACGCGAAAGCGUGGGGAGCGAACAGG